rnacentral:rRNA from 1 species
CCCUUAGAUGUUCGGGGCCGCACGCGCGCUACACUGAAGGACUCAGCGUGUCUCUCCCCCUAUCCCGAAAGGGAUGGGCAACCCGUUGAACCUCCUUCGUGCUAGGGAUUGGGGUUUGCAAUUAUCCCCCAUGAACGAGGAAUUCCCAGUAAGCGCGAGUCAUCAGCUCGCGUUGAUUACGUCCCUGCCCUUUGUACACACCGCCCGUCGCUACUACCGAUUGGAUGGUUUAGUGAGACCCUCGGAUCGGUCCCGACUCGGGGUGGGCUUCUGCCCCGGUCGUGGUUUCGCCGAGAAGACGGUCAAACUUGACUAACUAGAGGAAGUAAAAGUCGUAACA